rnacentral:snoRNA from 1 species
AAGAUCAUACUUCAUAGGAUCAUUUCUAUAGUAUGAUUAGUGAGUUCACUCACCGAAAUAAGCAAUCAUUCUCGCAUUUAAGA